UACGUAGGGCGCAAGCGUUGUCCGGAAUUAUUGGGCGUAAAGAGCUCGUAGGCGGCUUGUCACGUCGGAUGUGAAAGCCCGGGGCUUAACCCCGGGUCUGCAUUCGAUACGGGCUAGCUAGAGUGUGGUAGGGGAGAUCGGAAUUCCUGGUGUAGCGGUGAAAUGCGCAGAUAUCAGGAGGAACACCGGUGGCGAAGGCGGGUCUCUGGGCCGAAACUGACGCUGAGGAGCGAAAGCGUGGGGAGCGAACAGG
rnacentral:rRNA from 1 species